rnacentral:rRNA from 1 species
GAUGAACGCUAGCUACAGGCUUAACACAUGCAAGUCGCGGGGCAGCAUGAAUUUAGCUUGCUAAAUUUGAUGGCGACCGGCGCACGGGUGAGUAACGCGUAUCCAACCUUCCCCUGUCCACGGGAUAGCCCGUCGAAAGGCGGAUUAAUACCGUAUGAGGUCACACGAUGGCAUCAGACUGUGACGAAAGGUUUGGCGGACAGGGAUGGGGAUGCGUCCGAUUAGGUAGUCGGCGGGGUAACGGCCCACCGAGCCGACGAUCGGUAGGGGUUCUGAGAGGAAGGUCCCCCACAUUGGAACUGAGACACGGUCCAAACUCCUACGGGAGGCAGCAGUGAGGAAUAUUGGUCAAUGGACGUAAGUCUGAACCAGCCAAGUAGCGUGCAGGAUGACGGCCCUAUGGGUUGUAAACUGCUUUUAUGCGGGGAUAAAGUGGGGGACGUGUCCCUUUUUGCAGGUACCGCAUGAAUAAGGACCGGCUAAUUCCGUG